rnacentral:misc_RNA from 1 species
UAAAAAUAAUUAACUUUUAGUUUUUUUAUUUUUCAUUUAAUUUCCAUUAAACUCGAAUUCAAAAUUUCAAAUUAUAUCGGUACAAUCUAUUAUUGCUGCCUAAUUCCUGUUCAGGUUGUGCCAAUACUCAUUUUCCCACAUUUCCACUUGUUUAAUGGAUUUAGCUUUUCUAUUCAGAAAAUGUCGGAGAUCAUAGGGAGGAGGCAAUGUGCAUGGAUUUUUAUCACUAGGAGACAUCACCAUAGACUCCAACAUGAACUUCCUGUAGGUGCCAUUUGCUGGGCAGCCCAUUGUUUCUGAACAUACCUCCACUGCUUCUGCUGGUAUUGUUGGUUUGUAUUUCAAGAGUUUUGCAUAUUCGUUUAGCAGAUGAAACAUGUAAUCAUAUAUAUAAUCCAUCUUCAUAUCCUCUUGUAUGAAGUUGCUGGCAGCCUCUCCUAUUGCUUCUACCUCUUGAGUAUGAUUGUUGCCCCAUUCUACUGCAAAUUUGAGAGAGGUGCACUUGGAAUUGUCCCUGAUAGGCCAGUAGUGCUGCAAUGGGAGCAUACCUCUUAUGAAGAAAUCAUGGUAGCGAGGCUUUACGUACAAGGUCAUGGAAUCACAUGCUAGAAUGUAUUUCUCGCUCACAGACCAGGCCCAUCCCUCUAUAUAGAUCUUAUAUCUGUGGGUGCAUUGAUCUUGUAGAUUUGAUUGUUUAUACCCUUGUUUAGAUUCACGAUUCCAGUCCUGAAUAUAUAGACGAGUAUUCCAGUCAUUUUGGUGCGAGACAUUGCAUUUGAGAAGGUCUUUUCUGGUUGGAGCAACGUUUGGGUUCCCUUUCCAAUAAGCGUAAGGUGUCCUAUCCUUCCAUUUGGUUCUCUUGUUACCUUCUUUUAUGUCCUUCAACACAUUUUUCCAAGGCCUAAUAUUGGUCUCAGCCCAGCCCCAAAAUGACCAGUCAGGGAACACAAUAUCCAAACUCUGCCCAUCGGCACAGUAGCGAAACAAAGGUGGUGGGCCGGUGGAAUUUGGACCCUGAAAGUCCUUUGACCGGACUACAGGCCUAUCAUCACAAUCAAACAUGAGUUCUAAGUCAGGUAAUCUUCCAGGAUACCACCUCAUAAGCUGCAAUAUACCCCACAAAGUAAAUGCAUCUCUGGUCUGAAUCGACUGCUUAUACUUGUCCACGUAUGCCUUUCCGUCCACAAUCACAAGCCUAAAAUGUGCUGUCCUCCGUGCCCGUUCGAUCAUUUCCCUCGUGAUUCCAGUGUCUCUCCAGGGCCGUAGAUCUUCGUGGAUCCAUCGGAAGUAUGAUGGGCAGGUAGCGUUUGAGGUAUUUGCGGCGGGGUUGUGUUUUCUUGGGUAGUCUUUUGUACAGGUUUGCUGUGUAAGGUUUCCUGUAGUACAUUUAAGUGGGAAUUCUUGUUUCUCUGGGAAUGAUUUUUGAGAAAAAAGACUCCCAAACAUUGCGUAAGUGUCAAAGCAACCCACAACAAUCAAGGCGCCAAGAAAAAGGAGCAAAAAGAAGACUACCAAAACAGUAUUUGCAUUUCUCUUAUUUAGUGGUCGCCAAGGUGUCCUCAAGAAACGUCUAUGAAGCCCUGAGGCAAAGCUGAAAGUGUAGACAGAUUUCUCAUUGUUCUUCUUCUUCUUCUUCAUCAAUGCCCUCUCUUCCUUGCAAAACCUCUAGUUUAUUUCUAUGGCCAUCCCUUGUAAAUUCUAAUCAUAAUGGAGAACACAGGAACGUGCAGUCCUGGGGCUACCUCUGCCAGCCCCAAAUUGAUCAAUCCGGCUCCGUGCAGUAUCUGAACUCCGGUGGUGGGCCAGCAUUUGGGCCGCGAAAGUCCUCCAAUGGACAAAUCAGCCAAUCUUCCAGGUACUCGUUUUUGCCUCUUAAUUUUUUUAAUGUCCAAUUUUAUUUAUUUUUAAAUUUUUAAUUUAACUUAAUUAAAUAUUUUGACUUAAAUUCAAAUUUAAAGUAAGUGGUAUUCACAAAAUAUUUUUGGGCGUGAUUUUUUUUUAAUUUUUUUAUAUUAAUUAAUUAGUUAAAACAAGAGUUAAUU